rnacentral:rRNA from 1 species
ACAGGUAUGCCUCAGUAACGGCGAGUGAAGCGGCAAAAGCUCAAAUUUGAAAUCUGGCUCUUUCAGGGUUUUAGUUGUAAUUUGUAGAAGAUGCUUCGGGUGUGGUCCCGGUCUAAGUUCCUUGGAACAGGACGUCAUAGAGGGUGAGAAUCCCGUAUGUGACUGGGGUACCUACGCUCAUGUGAAGCUCUUUCGACGAGUCGAGUUGUUUGGGAAUGCAGCUCAAAAUGGGUGGUAAAUUUCAUCUAAAGCUAAAUAUUGGCCAGAGACCGAUAGCGCACAAGUAGAGUGAUCGAAAGAUGAAAAGCACUUUGGAAAGAGAGUUAAACAGUACGUGAAAUUGUUGAAAGGGAAGCGCUUGCAAUCAGACUUGCGCCUAGUUGAUCAUCCGGGCUUCUGCCCGGUGCACUCGAUUAGGCUCAGGCCAGCAUCGGUUUGGGUGGUUGGAUAAAGGCUUGGGGAACGUAGCCUCCUUCGGGGGGUGUUAUAGCCCCAGGUGCAAUGCAGCCUACCUGGACCGAGGACCGCGCUUCGGCUAGGAUGCUGGCGUAAUGGUUGUAAGCGACCCGUCUUGAAACACGGACCAAGGAGUCUAACAUUUAUGCGAGUGUUUGGGUGUUAAACCCAUACGCGUAAUGAAAGUGAACGGAGGUAAGAACCCUUAAGGGUGCAUUAUCGACCGAUCCUGAUGUCUUCGGAUGGAUUUGAGUAAGAGCAUAACUGUUGGGACCCGAAAGAUGGUGAUCUAUACGUGAAUAGGGUGAAGCCAGAGGAAACUCUGGUGGAGGCUCGCAGCGGUUCUGACGUGCAAAUCGAUCGUCAAAUUUGCGUAUAGGGGCGAAAGACUAAUCGAACCAUCUAGUAGCUGGUUCCUGCCGAAGUU